AUUGAACGCUGGCGGCAGGCCUAACACAUGCAAGUCGAGCGAGUGGCGGACGGGUGAGUAAUGUCUGGGGAUCUGCCCGAUAGAGGGGGAUAACUACUGGAACCGGUGGCUAAUACCGCAUACUAUCGGAUGAACCCAUAUGGGAUUCGCUAGUAGGUGGGGUAAAGGCUCACCUAGGCGACGAUCUCUAGCUGGUCUGAGAGGAUGAUCAGCCACACUGGAACGGAGACACUGCCAAGACUCCUACGGGAGUCAGCAGUGGGGAAUAUUGCACAAUGGGCGCAAGCCUGAUGCAGCCAUGCCGGGUGUAUGAAGAAGGCCUGAGGGUUGUAAAGUACUUUAAGCGGGGAGGCGUUACCCGCAGAAGAAGCACCGGCUAACACCGUGCCAGCAGCCGCGGUAAUAC
rnacentral:rRNA from 1 species